CCUACGGGUGGCAGCAGUGGGGAAUAUUGGGCAAUGGGCGCAAGUCUGACCCAGCAACGCCGCGUGAAGGAAGAAGGCCCUCGGGUUGUAAACUUCUUUUCUCAAGGACGAAACAAAUGACGGUACUUGAUGAAUAAGCCACGGCUAACUACGUGCCAGCAGCCGCGGUAAUACGUAGGUGGCAAGCGUUAUCCGGAUUUACUGGGCGUAAAGGGCGCGUAGGGGGGACUGCAAGUCAGAAGUGAAACCCAUGGGCUCAACCCCGGGCCUACUAUUAAAACUGUAGGUCUUGAGUGUAGGAGGGGCAAGCGGAAUUCCGAGUGUAGCGGUGGAAUGCGGAGAUAUUAGGAGGAACACCGGUGGCGAAGGCGGACUGCUGGACUAUAACUGACACUGAGGCACGAAAGCGUGGGGAGCAAACAGGAUUAGAUACCCUUGUAGUC
rnacentral:rRNA from 1 species